rnacentral:rRNA from 1 species
CCUGGCGGCCGUAGCGCGUGUGGUCCCACCUGACCCCAUGCCGAACUCAGAAGUGAAACGCCGUAGCGCCGAUGGUAGUGUGGGGUCUCCCCAUGCGAGAGUAGGGAACUGCCAGGC